rnacentral:lncRNA from 1 species
AAAACCCUUGUUGCUCUCUCUAUUAAUACUUGUAAACCUCAUCAGAUAUUAAUCAAUGGAGUUUUUGAGUCUCUCUCUCUCUAUUCUUUAAAAUCUCUUAAUCUCUUUAAUAUCUCUUAAUCUCUUUAAUAUCUUGAUCUGAUUAUCUCUCAUUGUUUGAAUCAUACUCUUAAAACACAAAAGUGUUUAUGGUAUCAGAGCCAGGUUGUUCAAACAGGGGAGAGUGUGAUUUCGUUUUUCAUAAAAAUCUGAGUGUUCUUGAGUGUUCUUGAGUGUUCUUGGUGUUCUUGAGUUCUGGUCUUUAUUAUCUGAGUGGUGUGAGAUAUUCUGAUGGAUUCAAACUAUCUCAACAUGGAAAUGAAGCACAGAUCUAGUACAACCAUGGAGUGUGAAGAAGAGAGAGAUGGCGAUUGGUCAAGAUGGGCAAAGAGAGCUUUGGAAAGCUGUGGGUUAUGGAGUAGUCAUGGAAAGGGGAAACCUUUCAUGGAAAUGGCUACUGAAGAAGGUCAGACAAGAGGUCUGAAGCUGGAAAAUGAAGUUGUUCAAGGAAACACUACAAGGAGUGAGAUUGAAGCAACUUUAGGCAAGUCCAAGCUUGUGAGAGUCAUUGAGGACAGAGGGGUGAUCCGCGGCUUGAGACAAGGAAAGGAUGAGUGUUAUCAGCUUGUGGGAAGGCUGAGAGAAGUAUGGUCAGAGCUAGAUGUGGUGAAGACACACACAUCAAAUCCGAGAUGUUGUCAAGAAAGGAGGAAGCAAGAUGUGAUCUUCAGCUUCCUUAUGGAAGAGGUAUGUGAGCUUGUUAAAUAUACAUAUGAUGUGUGGGAAAUAAACAGGAAGCCAGAAAGAUGGAAGGGAGGUACAAGCUGUAAGAGGGGAAGGUUGAGAAAACUUUCUAAGGAGUGGUUAAUGAAGAGAAGAGCAUGGAGAAAGGAUAGCGAGUCUGAACACUUAAGUGACAGGAUGAGUGUAAUCUUGAAGAGAAUCAAGGAUGUACUUCAGCAGAUGGUUAUAGGAGAGUGUUCAUACUCAGCUUACAUGGGAGAGACAGUAGGAGACAGUGCGGACAUGAGAGGAAUGGAUACCAAGAGGGCAGAUGAGUUUGUGACAAAGAAGGAAUGGGAUGAGUUGGUUAAGCAUGUGUAUGCUUUGGCUACGACCCGGAGUCUGGGUGCUCCUGCCAAAGCAUCCACAUCUAAACCCAUCAUCAUUGAUUCUGGAGCAACACACCACAUGAUCAGUGACAAGAGACUAAUCAGUGAGGUUAAAGCAGCAACAGGGAGUGUCAUGAUAGCCAAUGGUACCAGGAUCCCAAUAGAAGGAGUGGGAAACCUCAAGCUGUUUGAGAAGAACUCCACUGCCUUCUACCUACCUCCGUUUACAUCCAAUCUAAUCUCAGUUAAGAAGGCUACAGUUGAUCUGGAUUGUCAAGUGGUUUUCAGACCAAAUGAAGUUGAGUUCCAGGAUUUAAAGACUGGAAGAGUUAUUGGCAGAGGAGACAGCAAGCAUCAGCUCUAUCAUCUCCAAACAACUGAGGCGCCUAGUCUUGUGGAGUCUGUGUGUUUAAGCAGCACAACGGAUAGAUGUGAUAAUCUCACAUGGCAUGCAAGGCUGGGACAUCCUCAUGCCAAGGCAAUUGAACUGAUUCUACCAAGUAUGGCGUUCAAUCACUUGGAGUGUGAAGCCUGUAUACUUGGAAAGCACUGUAGGACGGUCUUCCCAACAUCAGAGACCAGAUAUGAGAAUUGCUUUGAUCUGGUGCAUUCAGACGUGUGGACAGCUCCCUGUAUGUCUAGAGACAGCCAUAAGUACUUUGUGACCUUCAUUGAUGAGAAGUCCAAGUACACAUGGAUCACCAUGAUUCCCUCCAAAGACAGAGUCCUGGAAGCCUUCAUGAACUUCCAAGCAUAUGUUACUAACCAGUACAAUGCCACUGUGAAGAUUCUGAGGUCUGAUAAUGGAGGAGAAUACACUAGCAAUGCUUUCAAGAGUCAUCUUGCAAAGCAUGGGAUUGUGCAACAAACUAGCUGUCCUUACACACCACAACAAAAUGGGGUGGCUGAGAGGAAGAACAGACAUUUGAUGGAGGUUGCGAGAUCAAUAAUGUUCCACAUGAAUGUCCCUAAGAAGUUUUGGAGUGAUGCUGUUCAGACUGCUUGCUAUCUCAUCAAUAGAGUGCCAACACGUGUCUUGAAGAAACUGUCUCCCUUUGAAGUAUUAAACAAGGCCAAGCCACACAUAGAUCAUUUGAGAGUCUUUGGGUGCUUAUGUUAUGUGAUGAUUCCCGGAGAAAGAAGGAACAAGCUAGAAGCAAAGAGUACUAAAGCUAUGUUCAUUGGGUACUCAAUCACUCAGAAAGGGUACAAGUGCUAUGAUCCAGCAACCAGGAGAGUGUUGGUGUCUAGAGAUGUUAAGUUCAUAGAGACCAAGGGGUAUUAUGAAGAAAAGAAUUGGAAAGACUUGGAAGAUCUGUCUCAAGAACCAAGAAACAUGGCAGAGAAUCUGAGGAACAUAUUGGAAAGGCUUGGGGUAAACAUGUCCCAUGAUAAGGUUAGAGAACCUGAAAGAACAACUCUCCUUGAUCAUGAGGGGGGAAAUGAGUCUGAAUCAGGAGUGCAAGAGCAGCACCAAGGGGAUUCAGGUCAUCAUGAUCAAGUGGUGACACAAGAAGUAGAGAAUUUUCCUCAGGUCAGUGUGGAUGAGCAAGGAGAGGUUCAUGAUCAAGAGGAGGUGAGUGAGACAGAACCAGAGGGUCACGCAGAGGUUCAUACUGAGGAACAGGUUCAACCAUUGAGGAGGAGCACACGGAUAAAGAGGGAUGCUUCCAACUGGGUAAACACGAGAGUGUACUACAAUGCCCAGGCUGUGGAGCAUCCUUCUCAAGCUGUGUGUUCCUUUGCUGAGUUUCCAGAGGAGCAUCAUGCCUUUAUGAUUAGUCUGGAUGAGAGUUAUGUACCAAGGACUUAUGAAGAAGCUAUGUUAGACAAGGAAUGGAAAGAAUCAGUGGGAGCUGAAGCAGGUGCUAUGAUCAAAAAUGAUACAUGGUAUGAGAGUGAGCUGCCUAAGGGAAAGAGGGCUGUAUCUAGUAGAUGGAUCUUCACAAUCAAGUAUCUAGCAAAUGGACAGAUUGAUAGGAAGAAGACCAGAUUGGUUGCAAGAGGGUUUAAACAGACCUAUGGAGAGGAUUACAUUGAUACCUUUGCACCAGUAGCUAAGCUACAUACAGUUCGGAUUGUGUUGUCCAUUGCAACAAACUUGGAGUGGGAUUUGUGGCAGAUGGAUGUGAAGAAUGCUUUCUUACAAGGUGAGCUAGAAGAUGAGGUAUACAUGCUUCCUCCUCCUGGUCUUGAGCAUCUAGUAAAACCAGGAAAUGUUUUGAGAUUGAAGAAGGCAAUCUAUGGGCUGAAGCAGUCUCCUAGAGCUUGGUACAGGAAGCUGAGUACAACCGUGAAUGGCAGAGGAUUCAGGAAGUCUGAACUGGAUCAUACACUCUUCACUUUGGUUACUCCAUCAGGGAUCAUUGUGAUACUGGUAUAUGUGGAUGAUUUGAUUAUCACAGGGAGUGAUAAGGCUGGGAUUAAAGCCACUAAAGAGUUCCUCAAGUCUGUGUUUGACAUCAAAGACUUGGGAGAGAUGAAGUAUUUCUUGGGGAUUGAGAUAUGCAGAUCCAAGGAGGGUUUGUUUAUGUCUCAAAGGAAGUAUACAAUGGAUAUGCUAAAGGAGACUGAUGUACUUGGAGGAAAGGUAGCAAAGACACCUCUUGAGGAGGGGUAUAAGGUUUUGCGUGAGGGGGAGGUUGAAGAGAAGCAGUUAUUUAAGGAUCCUAAGCUAUACAGGAAGAUGGUUGGCAAGUUGAUCUACUUGACCAUCACACGGCCAGAUAUAUGUUUUGCAGUGAACCAAGUGAGUCAGCAUAUGCAGGCGCCAAAGGUACAUCAUUGGAAGAUGGUUGAUAGGAUACUGAGGUAUUUGAGUGGCACGCCUGGUCAAGGAGUUUGGAUGGGUUGCAAUGGCAGUACGGAAGUGGUUGCGUAUUGUGAUGCUGAUUGGGCAGGAGAUAGAGUGGACAGGAGAUCAACUACUGGAUAUUGUACAUUCAUUGGAGGGAACUUGGUUACUUGGAAGAGUAAGAAGCAAAAGGUUAUCUCUUGUUCAAGUGCUGAAGCUGAGUAUAGAGCCAUGUUGAAGCUGACAAACGAGUUGGUGUGGAUCAAGGGGAUCUUGAAGCAUCUAGAGAUUGAGCAGAGUACUCCUAUGACUAUGCAUUGUGAUAAUCAAGCAGCUAUCCACAUUGCCUCCAACUCAGUGUUUCAUGAGAGAACAAAGCACAUAGAGGUGGAUUGUCAUAAGGUGAGGCAGAUGAUUAUCUUAGGAGUGAUUAUGCCAUGUUAUACAAGGAGUGAAGAUCAGCUUGCAGAUGUGUUUACCAAGGCAGCGAGAUUGAAGACAAUGGAGUCCAUACUAUCCAGGCUUGGACUCAUUGAUCUUACUCCCAGGAGCUGAGCCCCUUAACCAUGGAGUCUCCACUCUUUUUCCCUCAUCAAAGUUUUAUCCCAAUGGGUUUUCUUUGGUGAGGUUUUUAAUGAGGGAGGUCUUCAUGGUUUCCAAGCUUGACUUGUUCCACAUGGUCAAGCUUGAGGGGGAGUGUUGAGAUGAGGUGAUGAGGAGUGGAUACAUUGAUAGAGGAAGAGUAUUGGGGUGGUCAGUAAGUUUGGGAUUUACCACAGUAACUUUAAAGUUACUGUGGUAACUAAGUGAAAGGAAGAGAAGUUACCAGGAUGGGUUAAAUUGGAGUCUAACUGAUGUUAAUCCUCUCUUAUCUUAAGAAGGACGUGGGAAGAGGAUAAGGAAGGGAUAAGGGCUUACUUUGACAGCCUGUAUGAUGCUGGAAAGGAGAGGAUGCUUUUUACUAGUGCAAGCAUGUGAGAAAGCACAGCCAAGUGAUUCAAAAGGAGUUCCAGCCUGUCCAUUGACUCCAUAUGCUUAUACAUUUCGAAAACCCUUGUUGCUCUCUCUAUUAAUACUUGUAAACCUCAUCAGAUAUUAAUUAAUGGAGUUUUUGAGUCUCUCUCUCUCUAUUCUUUAAAAUCUCUUAAUCUCUUUAAUAUCUUGAUCUGAUUAUCUCUGAUUGUUUGAAUCAUACUCUUAAAACACAAAAGUGUUUAUGGUAUCAGAGCCAGGUUGUUCAAACAGGGGAGAGUGUGAUUUCGUUUUUCAUACAAAUCUGAGUGUUCUUGAGUGUUCUUGAGUGUUCUUGGUGUGCUUGAGUUCUGGUCUUUAUUAUCUGAGUGGUGUGAGAUAUUCUGAUGGAUUCAAACUAUCUCAACAUGGAAAUGAAGCACAGAUCUAGUACAACCAUGGAGCUUGAAGAAGAGAGAGAUGGCGAUUGGUCAAGAUGGGCAAAG